rnacentral:sRNA from 1 species
CGCCAUGGACGGCGGUGCUUACAUGCAGCAUCGAGUUUGUACAACAAACUCGAAGUUCAAAAAUAUACACGGACGUAUAUUUUUGAACGUA